UGCAAAGGCCAACAAGACCCUAUUCCGGGAAGCUGGGAGGAGAUGGUGUGCAUUUAUGUCAAGGUUCAUGAAGAUGCUAAAGCUAAGACAGUAACCUUCCCCUCGACGCCUCUAAUCCUCCAACAACUGGGUCGAUCCUUGGCUUGCAGAUCAAUCAGACGAGCACCCAGGGAGACGAUGUGCUGGGUGGAUCUGAUGUGUUUUACCAGCCGCUCAGUUGGGAACCAUUACAGAAAAGUAACACAGUUAUGCAUGCAGUCAAAACCUCACAUAACUGAAAAUCCUGACAGCGGAGUCCUUACGGAUUGGUGUUUUGGCUCUGUUCUGAGGCUCAGUAGCAAGACUACAGCACAGAACACACCUUAAUAACAACAGACGUGAUGCUGAUCAAGUUCGACAGGAUAAAAGGAAGACCUGGGGUGGAGAUGAUGACCAGCUGACACAUGUCCUCACUGACAUCUUCAACCUCUCCCUGAGCACUGCUGUCAUCCCAAUGGGCCUCAAGGCCACCACCGUCCUUCCUGUGCCAAAGAAGUCCUCAGUGUCCUUCCUCAAUCACUACCGCCCCAUUGCACUCACACCCAUCAUGAUGAAGUUCUUCGAGAGGCUCGUCAUGAGGUGCAAAUGUGAGCAUCCGUCUCUAUGUGAUAGCCCUGUGACUUUUCUGAGAUGUACCCCACCUCUCACCCUAUGGCAGCUGGGAUGGCCUCCAGAGCUUCCUCUGUGAUCCUGAAUUGAAGAAGUGGAAGAAAACGGAUGGAUGGGCUAUUAGUGGCAACAAAAGUUACUCAACCUCACACAUCUCUAUGUAUGAACAUGACUAGAUUUAAUCCACACAUUCUACUGUAUAAUGUUACGUGACUCAAACAUCCCACACAGAGAUAACGCCCAAAUUCAAAAUAACCCAAGCAAGAGAAGUAUAGAAUCACUCAGGCAAUCAAUAGUUCAGUAAACACACAAUCUUUAUGAAUGAUUUUACACAGAGAUCAUCUUGUUUUAUUGAUUUUUUUCCCCCUGUGCUUUCUUGCUAUACUCUUAGCCAAACAUGCAGUUGAUUAAAGCUUGUG